CCUAGUGAAUGUGGAUAGCACCGAUCUAAUAUUGAGAGAACACACGAGCAGAUUACCAGGUCGUCAGCUCCCGCGAACAAUUUAGCAGUGAAGAGGACAACGCAGAGGUGCGCCGCCACGACAUGGACAGAGCAAGAUACUGCCAGAAAAGAUCUUACUUCUUGGUGAGCUUCCAGGGAUACUAUCAUCUCUCAAAGAGGCCCUGGAGUCCAUGAAACGAGGUUCAUUCAGCUCAAGCCCAAGAUCAUCUGAGCUGUGUCUUCCUGAAACCUCAGACAUGAUUUCCCUCGGUGGUUCUGAUGUCCCCAAAAGGACUUAAAGGAUUAGUUCACUUAAAAAAAA